rnacentral:rRNA from 1 species
AAAUUAUCUAUUAUUAUUAUUCUUUUUUAUUUAAUGAAAAUAAUUUAUUUAAUUAGUAUAUUUUGUUGAAAUUAAUAUUUGAAUUAUAGUUUAUUGUACUGUGAAGGGUUUAGAUUAUUUAUAUAUAAGCAUAUAUUUAUAUAUUACCUUUUGUAUCAGGGUUUAUUAAUUAAUUUUUAUGUAUAUAAUAUUCUCGAAAUUAAAAGAUUUAAUCUUAAAUGUUUUUUUAUGUAAUAAAAUGAUUUAUAAUUUAAGAUUGGGGGUUAUAUGCUAUUCAAUUUUAAAUAUCUAGUUUUCUAAGAAAUGAAUUUAAUUCAUUAUUUGUAUGUUAAUAUUAAAUUUAAUUAAUUAUUAAUUUAUAAAUAUAAGAUUCAGGGGGAUUAGCUCUUGAAUUAUUUUAUAAUAUUUAUAUUUAUCAGGAUUUGUAAGAAUAAUAAUUUCUAUCAAAAAUUUUGUUAUAAUUUAUCCUGUAUAUUAAUUUAUUUAUUUUUAUUUAAUUUUUUAUUAGAAUUAUUAAUUUAAUUAUUUUUUUUAUGCAAUAAUGAUAGAAUUAGUAGUUUAUAUAAUUUAAGUAUAGUAAUUCGGCAAAAUUAAUUUCCGCCUGUUUAACAAAAACAUGUCUUAUAGAUUUUAAUUAUAAGUUUAACCUGCUCAAUGAUUUUAUUAAAUAGCUGCAGUAUUUUAACUGUACAAAGGUAGCAUAAUAAUUUGUCUUUUAAUUGGAGGCUAGAAUGAAUGGUUGGACGAGAAAUUUACUUUCUUUACUUAAUUUUAUGAAUUUGAUUUUUUAGUUAAAAAGCUUAAAUUUUUUUAUAAGACGAGAAGACCCUAUAGAAUUUUAUUUUAAUAUUUAUUUAUAUUAUUAUUUAAUUAAUAUUAAUAAUUAUUAAAAUUUGGUUGGGGUGACUGUAAAAUUUAAUUAACUUUUAUUUAUCUUUUUCAUUAAUUUAUGUUUAUAAUGAUCUAAUUUUUUUGAUUAUAAGAUUAAAUUACCUUAGGGAUAACAGCGUAAUUCUUUUGGAGAGUUCAAAUCGAUAAAGGAGUUUGCGACCUCGAUGUUGGAUUAAAGUAAAAAUUGGGUGUAGAUGUUCAAUUAUGUUAGGUCUGUUCGACCUUUAAAUCUUUACAUGAUCUGAGUUCAAACCGGCGUGAGCCAGGUUGGUUUCUAUCUAUAAAUUUAUUUUAACAAUUUAGUACGAAAGGACCAGUUGUUGAUAAUAAUUUAUUUAUAUUUUGAUUAUUAUU